rnacentral:piRNA from 1 species
UAGGCAAAUAUGGGAGGGUACAUCUCAGC